rnacentral:rRNA from 1 species
UACGUAGGGUGCAAGCGUUGUCCGGAUUUACUGGGCGUAAAGCGCGCGCAGGCGGUUCGUUAAGUCCGGUGUGAAAGCCCCCGGCUCACCUGGGGGAGGGCAUUGGAGACUGGCGGACUGGAGGCAGGCAGAGGCCGGGUGGAAUUCCCGGUGUAGUGGUGAAAUGCGUAGAGAUCGGGAGGAACACCCGUGGCGAAGGCGGCCGGCUGG